CCUCGAGGGGAAUUGCCUCAGUUACGGCGAGUGAAGCGGCAAAAGCUCAAAUUUGAAAUCUAGCACUUUCAGUGUUCGAGUUGUAAUUUGAAGAAGGUAACUUUGGUUUUGGCUCUUGUCUAUGUUCCUUGGAACAGGACGUCACAGAGGGUGAGAAUCCCGUGCGAUGAGAUGCCCAAUUCCAUGUAAAGUGCUUUCGAAGAGUCGAGUUGUUUGGGAAUGCAGCUCUAAGUGGGUGGUAAAUUCCAUCUAAAGCUAAAUAUUGGCGAGAGACCGAUAGCGAACAAGUACAGUGAUGGAAAGAUGAAAAGAACUUUGAAAAGAGAGUGAAAAAGUACGUGAAAUUGUUGAAAGGGAAGGGCUUGAGAUCACACUUGGUGUUUUUCGUUCCCUUCCUUUUUGGUUGGGUUCCUCCCCGGUUACUGGGCGGGCCUCGGAUUGUAUGGUAGAGCCAAAACCAAAGUUACCUUCUUCAAUUUCCCCUCCAAAACUUAAAGUGUUUGAUUUUUAAUUUUAGCUUUUGCCGCUUCCCUCCCCGUUACUGAGGCGGUCCCCGUUGGGGUCUUUUCCCCCCCUUUUGGAGAUGCAAAAAAAAAAAAAAAAAACCAAAAAAGGAGAGUUCGAGGACGACGCCUCCGUUCGGUCCCCGUUGGACGCGUGCUCGUCGGUGCGGCU
rnacentral:rRNA from 1 species